GCUCAGGUAGCUCAGUUGGUUAGAGCAUCAUCUGGAUAUGCCAAGGUUUUGGGUUCGAUCCCCAGUCAGGGCA
rnacentral:tRNA from 1 species